GAUGAACGCUGGCGGCGUGCCUAAUACAUGCAAGUCGAGCGAACGGACGAGAAGCUUGCUUCUCUGAUGUUAGCGGCGGACGGGUGAGUAACACGUGGAUAACCUACCUAUAAGACUGGGAUAACUUCGGGAAACCGGCGCUAAUACCGGAUGAUCUUUUGAACCGCAUUGUUCAAAGGUGAAAGACGGUCUUGCUGUCACUUAUAGAUGGAUCCGCGCUGCAUUAGCUGGUUGGUAAGGUAACAGCUCACCAAGGCAACGAUGCGUAGCCGACCUGAGAGGGUGAUCGGCCACCUGGGAACGUAGACAGGGUCCAGACUCCUACGGGAGGCAGCAGUAGGGAAUCUUCCGCAAUGGGCGAAAGCCUGACGGAGCAACGGCGCGUGAGUGAUGAAGGUCCUCGGAUCGUAAAACUCUGUUAUUAGGGAAGAACAUAUGUGUAAGUAACUGUGCACAUCGUGACGGUACCUAGUCAGAAAGCCACGGCUAACUACGUG
rnacentral:rRNA from 1 species